CCGCAAUCAAAUGCAGUUAUCGCGCAAAACACAUAAAGUGAAAGACUGUGGAAGAAGCCAACAGGAUUGUAGAAAGCAAAUAAAGAAAGAGAAAAAAAAAAUACUAAGUAAAAGCAUUAUAUGAUUGGGACCAAUUAUAUACAUGUCCAUUCCCAAGGGUGCAUUGUUUGUGAUUCCCAUACAACUCUUACGUCCUUGUUCAUCUUUAUACAUUGCUAGCUACAACUUUCUGGACUAUGCUACAUGAACCAGUUACAGCUCACCUUCAUACUCACCAUCAAACUUUUAUGUUAUUAAGACAUCUCAGACCACUUUUUAUCUUUAGAAUUUGAUGAUAAGCUUAAAUGCUUCAUAAUGGAUGUAACCUUAGCUUUUAUAUUACAUAUAGUUCUGAAAAAUAAGAAGGAAAUUAAAUAAUGCUAUAUAUGUUCAAAGAGAUUUUUUACAUGUAUGUAUAACUGUGUCUAUACAAUCUUCUACCAUAUGAUAUAUAUCUAUAUGAAUGAAACACCAAGUUUAAUUUAAGCAAUAGAAAUAUAUUAGUAAUUAUUUGUAUCUGCAAGCUAAUCAUACAAGGAAUAAAUAUUAAGGGGUCUUCUGCAGUUUAAUUUAUGUGGAACUGAUCAUAAUAGAUUUCAUGACAUGUACCAAAGUUCACUCAGCUAUAUAUCAGCAAUGGUAGGUGGAAACAAAGUAACAAACCCAAUAUAGAAACCAAAUUCAAUGCAAGUACGUCACUUCAUUCUUGCUUCCAUCAAACAUCUUCAUCUUCAAUGAAUAUGAACCCUACAAACCAAAUCAAAAUAACACGCUAGCUAAUAACUGCAACAUGCCCUUUGGCUAUUAUAAAUCUAAAAUCUAAAUCUCUUUCAGCUAAAUUAUAGCAAGUUUCAUUUAAGAUUAGAAGCCUAGUGUUAUUAUCAUUGUAGAACAAUUUUUUAAUGCUGAAAAAUACAGUUAUAAUAAUAUGACUCAGGACUUCGUCAGAUGUUAAGAUUUAUAUAAAAAUAAAUAAAAAAAGAAAAUUGAAAACACUUGCUUGAUGAAAACAAAAUGAAAAAAAAUUAAAUACACUUACUGCUAACUAUUAGAUUCCUAUAGAAAUAUAUAUAUAUAUACUCAACAUUUUUCUUUUCUGGGAAACAAAGUUAACCGUAGAGUUCAUCUAAAAUUCUUAGGCAUUGAGAAUGAUUGUAAUAGCUUACCGGAGGUGUGAAACCAGGUAGAACUUGAGUAUAAACAACAUUAAAAUCACCAAUUGAAACAGGACAAGAUGUCUCCGCACAAAGUUCAUGGGUCUUACUUAGGAAUGACACUAUCCGAAUUCUCAAAUAUCUACCCUGUCUCUAUUUA